CAACUACUCCCUCCGUUCUGAAUUACUUGUCGCACGUAUGGAUGUAUCUAGAUGUAUUUUAGUUCUAGAUACAUCCAUUUCAGCGACGAGUAAUUUGAAACGGAGGGAGUAGUAA
rnacentral:pre_miRNA from 1 species